CCAAGGGUGGCACCUGGAGCCCAGGAGAUGGGGUCACUGGCUCCCGGAAAUAUGGCGAUUCAGAGAGGAAGCCAGGCCUCCGAGCCAGGCCCCGGCCACCUGGUCCCCACCCCUGCCAGCCGCGCUCCCGCUCCUCCCUGGCCCUGUAUAAGAAACAUUGUGAUGACCAAGACAGACCCAGUCCCUGCCUUCAUAUGACUCAGGAGAAAAGGCAUCCAGAUCCUGAGUGUGCAGACCCCAGGAGGCCUGGUGGAUGGUUUGUUAAACUGCUUUUGCGUCUACUUACAAAUGUUAAUGACUACCUGAGCAAAAGAAUAAGAAGCCCUCCCGAGGUAAGAGAGUGAGAGAAGCUGGCAGGAAUCUCUGGGAAUGGCUCUGCCCUAAACUCUGACAUUGAGGGGACAACUGAAUGUCCAAGAGCAAAGCUGGUGAGCACCCCAUUGCCCAGGAGCAACUGAGCGGCAGGAAGCUCCUGAGAUAUCCCUGCACCCAGCGGAGGGGGACCAGGCUGUGUCACAAGCCCUCAUGGCCCUGGCAUUUUGUAGGGAGCACCAGGAUGUUUUGGGGGUGCAUCUGACGGCCUGGAGGUCCUGCAGCAUCAGGUGGCAGGGAGUGAUAGCAGAUGCAAGCUGAACCAAGGGCCAAGGAGCCAGAAGGGGGACACUUACUUGUCUACUGGAAGUAGCUGCCACCAAGGACCAUCAGAUGAUGAUGCCAGUGUGACAGGUGGCUAUGAGAACCGGGCAUGCUAUCCUGAUGCGAUGUGACGUUCCCUAAAAUGGACAGCCUCUAAGGAAAAGCAGAGGGAAAUCCUAAGCAGACCAAAAGGGAAGUGCUACCAGAUGCAGAACGGACAAUGGGGGAAGAAAUUGGGUUUUUCUUUUAAAAAGCAGUUUGGAACAUAGUAAAAAACAGCCAUUUUAAGUGCCUAUUCCUUAAACUGUUGCCAAACAAUAUCAGACUUGACAUUCCUUCCGCACAUCCGGCCCGAUGUCCAGCUAACGUGGUACAUUGGCCAUGACUUCUUGUACAGUAGGGCUGGUACAGGUAGGUGGUGGCAUCAGUCCUGCUCUGGGCCCUGGCCAAAGCCCACCAGUGCCUGAGUGUUCCCGAUCCGUCUUUCUCUGGUCCCAACCAACUUCCUGGGUUGUGGGAGGGGUCACCCCGUUUCUGGCCAGAAUGCUCCUAAAAUCUGGGAGGAGAGGAUGCCAACGAGAGUCUCUGAGAGCCCUGGUCUCUGCCUGUAAUUGUGUGGCCUCGGUCCUCUCUGUAAGAGAAGGCCACCUCUGCUGCAUGGCUAAGAGUGGUCACAGUUCUUGCACCUGGCUGUCGCCAUGCCCAGGUGCCCUCCUCACUGUGUCCCACUUAGUUUUAACCACAGCCCUGCCAGGAGGUGCUCUCAGCACCAGCUUACAGAUGUGGAAACAACGUCACACAGAAGAGACUUGACAAGGGCCAGACACCUAAUUAGUGGAAUCCAAGACUCUGUAGAUUGUUAUACAUGCAGUUCGUUAUUUAUAAAAAAAUAAAACAGAACAAAGGAACUGGCAGUGAAGGUUUCAAGGCAUCACUGUGUGUAAAUCACAGUCCAAUUUCAGAGAUGUUAAAAUAAUGACCUAGGGAAUUAAGCAGCUGGAGUGGGUAUAGCCCUAGGUCUGAGGGAUCCCAAGGCUCCAGUGUUUUGUGUUGGGACACAGUGUCACUCAGACGGCCCGUACACGCUGAUGUGGAAGCCCAGCAAAUCACAUAAUGAGACAGACUAGAAAAUACACAACGCAUAGUGAGUGGGAAACGUCAUGGCUGCCAGGGAACAAAAGGACCGUGCAGAGGUCCUUUUGGACAAACUUGCAGGGACUCUUCUGGAGGCCGAGAAUAGACUCUCUUGCCCAUGGAAUCAAGCACAAGCUCGGCCAAGAACUAUGUAGCCAGGUCCAAUUCACCCGGAGAAUAAGUUCCAGACCUCAUGUUACCAACAAGUUGGAAUGAAUCGGAACACACCCAGCAAGCUGCCUGCCCCGAUGGUGGUCCUGCCUGCCUGAGACUGGAGGCUCUGCUGGUGCCCACUGGUCUCUGGUCCCCUCUCUGGGGUAGAGCAGGACCUGGCUUCCCUGAGGCGGUAGCCUUGACUGAGGACUCGCUCCCAACCAAUGGAGUGUCAUAGACCUGUCCUCAUCUGAUGUGGAGUGUGAUGUGGCCACAGUCUCUGGAGUGUGCCACUGCUCUGAGAGCUUGUCCCCAAAUCACACCUGGCCAUCACGGGCAUAAAGACACAGUGAUCUAAUCUUCAGCUGCUUCUCCUGGGGUGCCCACGAAGUGUGACACCUCCACACCUAGCUUUUCUUUCUCUGGCUCUCUCCUCUACUACCCGCUCCUCAGAUGGUCACCUGACAGAAGUGGCUGGUGGCUACUUCACCAAGCAGCAUUUGUCCUAGCACGUCAAGUACUUGGUGUUAGCACUCUUUUGAGUGUUAUCCAAGUAAAUGUUCUUAUCUCCAUUUUAAAGAUGAUUGGCCUGAAGAUCAGAGAGGCCAGUAACACAUCCAGAACCACACACCCUGUGUGGAUCUGUGUACUGUGUCUGGGGCAACAGACGGGGAAUCAGGAGCCUAUGGUACUUCUUAGACAGUAGAAGGAAAACUGUCCUAAGAAGAUACUGCUGUAAAGUUCUGUGGGAGCUAAUUGCGAUUUAAUUUCAUUCAUCUGAAUUCCUGAUAUUAAGUCCUGUGUGGAACUACAGGGAAAGUGAUUUCCAGGCAACCCAGGCUGUGGCACACACACACACACACACACACACACACACACGCCUCUCCUUUAACGACCCGCUUGCAAUUGAUAUACUGCUAAGUAGCAUUGCUUGUACCGGGGAGAUUCUAUUUCCACACUAGCAGCAAAUAUGACCUUUGUGUCAGCUGCCAGCUGCUUAUAAUUCUGACAGAUGCAAGCACAUUUCUGGGAAGCUGUAGCCACUCAGGACCUUGCGGAUCAACAAGCAGUGCGGGCGGCUUUGGUAAGAUUGAUCGGCCCUCGAGAAUCCCAUUUACAGCCCUUUAUGGAGCCUCGGUUUACCAUGGCCUGGGCACUAAUGACUUCGACAGCUCCGAUCUAAAUCUGUCAGCCAGGGCUGGUGGUGAUAUUAAAGAAUUCUCUAUUUAUACGAAGCAGCAAUUAGAGGAAUGCUCGCCACUGGGCCACUGCUUCCAAGUAAAUCCCCGGCCUUCCAAAUGGUGUCAUGCUUGUGGUUAUUUUAAUCCGCUUGGAAUUUCAGGGUUAUUAAUGCAACGGGCCAUCGUGGAGGAUUAGCCAGGUUUAUUUCUGCUGACAUUUCAGAGAGCACAGGCAGGUUCCUGAGACGGGCCUGCCUGCCCUGCCCAUGUCGGGGCAGG